rnacentral:snRNA from 1 species
AUUCUUACCCGGCAGAGGAGAUAACAUGAUCAUGAAGGUGGUUUUCUCAUGGUGAGGCUCAUCCAUUCCACUGCGGGUCUGCUGACCUCUGAGAUUUCCUCAAAUAGGGGAAACUCAACUAUAUAAUUUGUAGUAGUGGGAGACUGCAUUCACGCUUUCCCCUG